UACGGGGGGGGGCAAGCGUUGUUCGGAAUUACUGGGCGUAAAGGGCUCGUAGGCGGCCAACUAAGUCAGACGUGAAAUCCCUCGGCUUAACCGGGGAACUGCGUCUGAUACUGGAUGGCUUGAGUUUGGGAGAGGGAUGCGGAAUUCCAGGUGUAGCGGUGAAAUGCGUAGAUAUCUGGAGGAACACCGGUGGCGAAGGCGGCAUCCUGGACCAACACUGACGCUGAGUGAGCGAAAAGCCAGGGGGAGCAAACGGG
rnacentral:rRNA from 1 species